CGAAGAACCUUACCAGGCCUUGACAUGCAGAGAACUUUCCAGAGAUGGAUUGGUGCCUUCGGGAACUCUGACACAGGUGCUGCAUGGCUGUCGUCGGCUCGUGUCGUGAGAUGUUGGGUUAAGUCCCGUAACGAGCGCAACCCUUGUCCUUAGUUACCAGCACGUUAUGGUGGGCACUCUAAGGAGACUGCCGGUGACAAACCGGAGGAAGGUGGGGAUGACGUCAAGUCAUCAUGGCCCUUACGGCCUGGGCUACACACGUGCUACAAUGGUCGGUACAAAGGGUUGCCAAGCCGCGAGGUGGAGCUAAUCCCAUAAAACCGAUCGUAGUCCGGAUCGCAGUCUGCAACUCGACUGCGUGAAGUCGGAAUCGCUAGUAAUCGUGAAUCAGAAUGUCACGGUGAAUACGUUCCCGGGCCUU
rnacentral:rRNA from 1 species